GGUAGGAAAUCGACAUUAAAUCAGCGAUUAAAUUCUUCCAAUGGUGUUUGCUAAAUCACAAUCGACAUCGGCGGCCCAAAGGCAUCUUCAAUCAUUCUACAUUACCAGUUACUUUAGUAUCGUGGAGGUACUAAUCGUAAUUAAAAUGGUCAUUAUUGGAACCGAGGACUAUGGGGCCAUUUGUGUUAAUUCUAAUUCGAAGCAAACGCGAUUUACGCAUUGAGCAUGAAUCUCAAAUGACAGCAGUGCGUUGCAAGCACCAACAGUCACCGGGGGAUCCAACCAACGUGAAUGCGAAUGUGAAUGGAAAUGCGAAAUUAAGUUUUCACUCGUUGUGUGUUUUUUUAGAGUUUUUUUUAGGAUAUGCGUUGCGUAAAUUUUCCGCAUGCGUAAAUUCCCACUCGCAAAUGGCACACGUGCACUUUUCACACGCCCGCGUAAUUUUACACAACGCGCAAAUUGAAAUCUAUAAAAAUCCGAAAACGAUAGCCGUGCGAAAAAAAAUAUACAAAUGUUUGGCAAUCACUUUCGGAUUCGAUAAUCUCCGGCGAUUAAAUUCAGAUUUGUUCUGUGUGCGAGUUCGCGUCUGGUGAAUCGAUUCGUUCCAGCAAAUACGUGCCGUUUUCCUUCGUUUGUAAAAUGGCCCAAUUAAAAUUAGGCGGAUGAUACGAGCGCACGCGGUGGCGAAGUACAGUGAUAUUUCAUAUCGCCGGCGAUCUCAUUAAAUUUUCAAUUCGGACUCGAACUCGACCCGCGAGUGCACGCUCUUGGUAUUCUCGUCGUGUCCGCCUGGUCAUCCUUUCGCGGUCGCCUGCGCUGCGGUCCAAACGUUCGAAAGCGAAAACGGCAAUCACCCGACCCGGCCAGUGCACAAAUCUGUGCGACACACAAAUGCGAAAUCUUCUCAAUUAAUUUUUUUUUGACCAGUGUGUGGUAUGUGUUUUUUUGUGCGGUGCGAUUCUCGUUUGGACGUUCAGUGUUUUCGGUUGGGUGGCAUGGACGCCAUCCGAACACUGGAUAACAUGCUGGUCGGCGAUAAAAAUGUAGUACUAUGCAUUUUUUUACCAAACGAUUUUUUUUCUUGCACUCGGCGCGAUUUUCCAUUUAGAUGUUUGUUUGUGGAAUUGCGCAUUUUGUACAUUUGUGCAUUUGAAUCGGUGCACUUUUUUUUAAACAGCCAAAUACUCGUUCUCGUUGCAGUGUAGUCAAACAGACAUUUACUGAGCAUUCAGAACAUUCACAUUAUGCUCUGUUUCUUUAUGCGCUGGAUUUUAUCCUACUCUAUCGGAAUCAGUCCCAAAUAUACAGCAAAGUUUUCUGCAGCAUUCUUUUUUUUUCGCAGAAAAGUUAAGUUCAAAACUUUCGUUGUACAUUGAAACUUAAUUAAAAGUGCUACGCUUUAGCUACUUUUAGACUGCCAUUACAUGCCAAAUAAAAAAACGAAAAUUUAUUUCCACGAAUAACGGCGUAACCCAAUUUUUGGAUUUUUUACUACGUUUUAAAUAAUAGAAUAAAAUUGCAUAAAUCAGUUCAAAUUAAAUCCUACUGAAUUCGCUCUAAAACUGUUUAAAGUAGUUACACUUUUUCAUAUCAACGCAAUUUAUUCACCGAUAUAUUCGAUAUUUUACACUAAUAUUUUUGAAAUUUAUUUAUUUUCACAAAUAAAUAAAAAUAAAAUUACAAGUUCACCACUUUAAUUGAAUUUUUGUUAUACAUUUGUUGGCCGGUUCAAAUGUUCGAAACAAAAUCCGAUACAAACGAAAGCUAAUAAAUAUCGUUUUCCUAUUUUGCUGCAAUAUUUCUUCUCGCCGACGGGUUGUGCUGAAAGUCGCGCCGUGCCGUUUUGUAAAAGGUCAUUAAGUAAUGAAUACUCGCCGGUACUGAGGGGUGGACGCGGGCGAAAACCCUCGAUACCACCUGUCAACGGCGAACGCCGUGACUUAUUACUCUUUGACACGCUCCGUCCCGCUCGACAUGUCACGAUUAUCACAAAUUAUUCACUUUUUGUGUCGCCAAUUGUGCUCGGCAAUCAAUAAGUGAGCGCAAUUUAAUUUACACUUAAUUUCUUCUAUUCCCCUUUGGAAACGUACAAAUUCAAACAAAAUUCUGAAGCAUAAUUAACUCUGGGAGUUGAACCAUAAGCCAUAUGAAACGUUUGAAAAAUGGAUAUUUCGGAAAGGGGUGAAGACGGCGAAAUGCAAUGCUUUACAACUUCUGACUUCAAUAUCUUAACGAUAUAACGAGCCAACACAAACGCGUGUAUAUGUACAACAGACGAGCCAUUCAUCGAUGCAUGUAAUUUACUUCCGUCAAGCCUUAUCGGCCAUCUUGCUCUUAUCUUGACGUUCGGCGCUUCAUUCGGCAACGCAUUCGUCUCAUUUUUCGCGCUCGCAUUCUUUCGCUUCGUCUCGCUCGUCUCGUGUCUCGCUUACGACUCAACUUCUUAAUACUUUGCCAAAUGCUUACAGGGCUCAAGUAAGCUUUAACUGAUAAAAACUUUUCCACCGAGGGUCGUUUUUUGUUCGCUUCUGUUGAUUCCACCUCGCUGUGUGUACUAUUGCUGUUGCAUUGAUCUCUUUCAGAUGGGACCCGUUGAUACAUCGCUCGCCCGAUAAUGGACUAUUUGCUAUUCGUUAAGUAAUAUUUAAAUGACUGCGCAAACUUUGCCUGGCCUAGUGUCGCACGCUCGACAGAAGUAAAUGCGAAUUAAUGGACACGAACGCAACACGAAAUGCCAAGGUUGAAUUAUUUAGAAAAAGAAAUUGCUCUCGCGCUGUGCCACGACGUGCACGGGCUUCGGCUAACCGGGGGACAAACAUUCGAAUUCAAUUAAUUUCCUCUCUUUUCACCUCUGCCUGCCUGGACAAACUUACCGUCGAACACAUACGCCAAUUCAAACUAACUACAAACUAAUUUGUAUAACUUUUGCCACGUUUAUUUAGUUGCGCAUUUAAUCACAGCCGCAAAAAUUAUAAUUAUUUUGUUUUCUUUGUAUAAUUUUGUAAGAAUUUUUAAAUACAUGUUUUGUAGUGUU